ACAAUCCCCAGCUAUUGUUGUGACGACUUUUGAGUUUUGGAUGGCCGAAGACACUACACUACCCACAAUCCCCAGCUAUUGUUGUUACGACUUCUGUCCGCUUUGCGAUUACAUUACCCACAAUCCUCAGGUACCGUCGUUAAGACGGCAUACCUUUGCACUUUACGUGACCAAACCUGGAUCAGUCGCAGUUCUUCAGAAUCAAGAUCCUGCAAUUUGUUCUCCAAAAAACAACCCUUUGUUUUUUCAAACUCCAAACAACCCAAAGGCACUUUUAAGAGCCAAGUCUGUCUUGUUAAACUGUCCUUGCUGUGUUGUACUUGAUAGUCUCUUCCUAUCUCUCUAUUUAUUUCUCUGUCUAACUCUGUUGUCAGUCUUUCUUCUGUGUCUCUGUCUGUGUCUCUUCACUAUAAUGAGUGAUUCUGAUCUUGAGGAUCUCCUGAGAAGCGCAGAUGAGCUGGUUGAGCAGAAAGAGUUAAGGGAUGACCUACGGAGUGCUGAUGAUUUGCUUUGUAAAGUGGAAGCGGCAACAACAGCAGCAGUAGCAGUAGUAGCAGCAGCAGCAGCAGCAGCAGCAGCAGCAGCAGCAGCUGCAGCAGUGCCAGCAGUGUCAAUGAUGUGCUGGAAGAAGAGAGACAGUGAGGGAAACUUGAUCUUUGCAAGACCACGUUCAACCCGGAAUGUCUCAAAUCAGGCUGGCUGCAGUCGUAACACUGAUCCCCCCGUUGAUGCUCCUGACCCUGACUGUGAUCUGGUCUUUGCUCCAGUUAUCG